UCUCCGUUGGUGAACCAGCGGAGGGAUCAUUACCGAGUGCAAACUCAUAACCCUUUGUGGACCUAUAUCUGUUGCUUCGGCGGCUCGCUCUCGGGCGAGCCCGCCGGUGAUAUCAGUAUCUCUGUUUGAACCCGACGAUACUUCUGAGUGUUCUUAGCGAACAGUUAAAACUUUUAACAACGGAUCUCUUGGCUCUA
rnacentral:misc_RNA from 1 species